UAGGGAAUCUUCCACAAUGGGACGCAAGUCUGAUGGAGCAACGCCGCGUGAGUGAAGAAGGUCUUCGGAUCGUAAAACUCUGUUGUUAGAGAAGAACACGAGUGAGAGUAACUGUUCAUUCGAUGACGGUAUCUAACCAGCAAGUCACGGCUAACUACGUGCCGG
rnacentral:rRNA from 1 species